GGGGGGGGAAUCACGUCUUUCCUGAUGCUAAGUGCUAGGUGCAGAAGCAGCUGGAAUAGAGAAAUUGCCCUCUGUCACUGAAAGAAAGUGAAGUCGCUCAGUCGUGUCCGACUCUUUGCGACCCCAUGGACUGUAGCCUACCAGGCUCCUCCCUCCAUGGGAUUCUCCAGGCAAGAGUACUGGAGUGGGUUGCCAUUUCUUUCUCCAGGGGAUUUUCCCGACCCAGGGAUAGAACCCUGGUCUCCCGCAUUCCAGGCAGACACUUUAACCUCUGAGCCACCAGGGAAGCCCUCUGUCACUGAGACUAUAGCAAUAAGAAUUGGGAGUGGGGUGUGUAUUCCACGGACAUUUGUGCCUAAGGUUCAAAAAUAUCAAUUUUCUCCUGCAGUCGACCUGCAAUCUCAAAGCUAACUGCUUUGAGUUUGAGAUCCAGUGAAUAUUACCUUAAACUUCACAACCUUCCAGUGAACAGUGGGAACAAGGAAGGUAGAGCUGCUUGUAAACUACAGGCUUCAAGGAGAGGAUCCCAGACAGAUUUCCUCAGACUUGGCAUCUUUCUUCUGUCCUUCCCCUGCUUCACAACUGAACAAUCACAACUUAAAGUUCCUUUUUAAUGAGAUUUCUCAUUACAAAAUCAAAAUGAGUUGACUGGAAUGGGUUCUCGUGGUAAUUUGCUAAUAUGAAACUUCCUUUGGUGCAGCAUCUGGGUUUACAAAUGUAAGAUGUUUAUCACAUUCUAAGUGAUUCUGACAGCUAUAAAGUGAGUUGUACUCAUUACAGUCACCACUAUUUUUUAGAUUAUUUCAGUGAUUAACUUUCCAAACUCCUUCAGUAAUUACACUUCUGGCCUCAUUAUCCAUAAUUUGGAAAGGAGUGGUGUUUGGUGGAAAGAGAUAAUUCAUCUUAUACCCGCUUCUUACCCUACAGAGGGCAUGUGGGAGGUUAGGUCCCUGACCAGGGAUCAAACCUGGCAACUCUGAAUUGGAAGGUGAAGUCUUAACCACUGGACCACCAGGGAAGUCCCAGAAACACUUAUCUUGAAAAACGUAUCUUGACAUCUAUUUCUCUCCUUCCUCUACAUUAAUUGCAGCAAGACUGUCACUGUGUAAAGAAGAGGACCAAGAAGCUGCAGCUUUAGUAUGAAGAGCCUUAGACCCAGAGUAAAAGACCUAGGUUGUCAGCUUAGGCAUUGAAACUUGUUUGAUCUUGAGCAUGAAACAUCACUUUUCUGAAAUUCCAUUUCCUCGUUUGCAAAAAGAAAGGAAGAGAUUGAAUCAAAUAUGUCCAUUUUUCUAUGACCAUUAAUCUUCAUACGAUGUGUCCCACUCUGUGCUCCUGCUCCAAGAUGUGCUAGACCCACUGUGGCAUCAUAGUGAGCAUCCCAUGCAUCAGGUCAGGUGGACAGACGCAAGUUAGUUGGCUUCUAUCAUGGCAACUCAAGGCUGCUAAAAGGAUACAAGUAGAGGCUUCUAGUCCUUCUUAAAGCUUAAACCCAACACGUUCACAAAACAUUUUUGUGUUCAUGUACAUAUUCAGCAUUGAAAGGGACUUCCACAAGGGCAUGGAUGUGAUGAAAAGCACUGGGAUCAACUUUGAAGAGCAGUUAUCAUGAAAAUGGAAACCACCCUUAAAGGUAUGGAUCUGAGAACAGAAAAGAUGUUGUUUAGUUGCUAAGUCAUGUCUUUUGUGACCCCAUGGACUGUAGUCUACCAGGCUUCUCUAUCCAUGGGAUAUCCCAGGCAAGAAUACUGAAGUAAGUUGCCG
ensembl:lncRNA